rnacentral:rRNA from 1 species
CGCGAUUGGAUGAACCUAGGUGGGAUUAGCUAGUUGGUGAGGUAAUGGCUCACCAAGGCGACGAUCCCUAGCUGUUCUGAGAGGAUGAUCAGCCACACUGGGACUGAGACACGGCCCAGACUCCUACGGGAGGCAGCAGUGGGGAAUAUUGCACAAUGGGGGAAACCCUGAUGCAGCCAUGCCGCGUGUGUGAAGAAGGCCUUCGGGCUGUAAAGCACUUUCAGUAGGGAGGAAAGGGUGAGUCUUAAUACGGCUCAUCUGUGACGUUACCUACAGAAGAAGGACCGGCUAACUCCGUGCCAGCAGCCGCGGUAAUACGGAGGGUCCGAGCGUUAAUCGGAAUUACUGGGCGUAAAGCGUGCGCAGGCGGUUUGUUAAGCGAGAUGUGAAAGCCCUGGGCUCAACCUAGGAAUAGCAUUUCGAACUGGCGAACUAGAGUCUUGUAGAGGGGGGUAGAAUUCCAGGUGUAGCGGUGAAAUGCGUAGAGAUCUGGAGGAAUACCGGUGGCGAAGGCGGCCCCCUGGACAAAGACUGACGCUCAUACACGAAAGCGUGGGGAGCAAACAGGGUUAGAUACCCUGGUAGUCCACGCCGUAAACGAUGUCUACUCGGAAUUUGGUGCCUU